GCCAGCGUGGUGUAACGAUUUGAGCGUUGGACUAUGACUCUGGAGGCCAGGGUUCGAAUCCCAGCUUGGACA